AAGGCUUCAGAGUACUAGACCUAGUAUUGAAAGAAGGCUGGGGACAAAAUGCCAGUGUUUACUUGAGCUUCAGAUUCUGCUUUUUAUUCAUGCAGGUACCUUUUGAGAUGGACGGUAACUGGAAUCAAUGCCCCGAGCCAAAGAUUCAUCAAGCAGUGCUUUUAGCUUUUCAGCAGAAUCUUUACUCUUUGAAUGUAAGAAACCUAGUGCUUUCAAAAAAAUGGGAUCAAGUUCCAAGUUCACAGUAGCAGCCAUUGCAAACACCUGAAGGAAAAAAAAGAGGACGUAAUUUAGAAGACAAUGCACAAUUAUCUAUGUCAAAGUUUUACUUUUCUGUUUUUAAAUUUAUAAUAGAUAAUACUGUGUACAUGAUAUAAAAUGUAAAAUUAUCAAAAAGUUAUUACAAAUAAAAGUAAAUUUCCUUCUUA